rnacentral:rRNA from 1 species
AGUGAACGCUGGCGGUAGGCCUAACACAUGCAAGUCGAACGGCAGCACAGUAAGAGCUUGCUCUUACGGGUGGCGAGUGGCGGACGGGUGAGGAAUACAUCGGAAUCUACUUUUUCGUGGGGGAUAACGUAGGGAAACUUACGCUAAUACCGCAUACGACCUACGGGUUAAAGCAGGGGAUCUUCGGACCUUGCGCGAUUGAAUGAGCCGAUGUCGGAUUAGCUAGUUGGCGGGGUAAAGGCCCACCAAGGCGACGAUCCGUAGCUGGUCUGAUAGGAUGAUCAGCCACACUGGAACUGAGAAACGGUCCAGACUCCUAAGGGAGGCAGCAGUGGGGAAUAUUGGACAAUGGGCGCAAGCCUGAUCCAGCCAUACCGCGUGGGUGAAGAAGGCCUUCGGGUUGUAAAGCCCUUUUGUUGGGAAAGAAAAGCAGCAGGUUAAUACCCCGCUGUUCUGACGGUACCCAAAGAAUAAGCACCGGCUAACUUCGUG